UGGAGCCCCGACAGCGGUGGGCCGGGCUGGGCUCCCCACAACGCCAAGGACCAAACAAAAUCCACGAGCACACAGCCACACCUCGCUCACCACCGUUCAGACUACGGAGCGAAGAGGGCUCCCGGAAUCUCGGCGGCGGCGGCGGCGGCGGAGGCGGCAUUGGUCCCUGGCGCCUCCGGCAUACGCAGCCUGUCAGGAACAGACCGGCUCCCAAGUUCGUCGUCGUCGUCGUCGUCGGCGGCGGCGGCAGUCGCUGGAACAUCGAGGUAGGGCAUCGCGGCCUUUGCUCCUCCUCUACACUUGCUGGAUCUUCCAUUUGCUUCACUUUGUGUGUAACCCUAGCCUGGUGACGGGGCUGUAUCGGGACCGGUGAGGACGACGGCAGCUAGGCCAGCGACUUUCGGCAAUUCUCAGACAUGGCAUCAUCCACUGAUACAGAUAUGCUGGAAGAGAAUGUGCCCGCCAAGACAACUACUGUUCAAGUGAAAUGGUGUGGCAAUGAUUAUGAUGUGGUGGUACAAUCUGAUGCCGAUGUUGGAGAGCUAAAGCGACGUGUCGAACACGAUACGGAACUUCCUUUCAAGAGGCAAAGACAUAUAAACACUCAGACAAAUGAUGAAUUGGCUGAUAAUUAUCGUGUUUCUCUGUUGGACAGUCCACCCACGACGUUUCUCAUUGGGUUGAACAAACUGGACCUUCCACUCUACUUGCGGUAUUUUUCUUACGGAUUUGCUAUUUUACAGCUGAGUGUUUUGCAAUUCGUUGUCAUUCAAAUCCUUAUCCGUCCGUUCUUGCGCGGAGAUUCGUGCUGGUUUUUGUUUUUGUUCGGUCUCGUUUCUUGGUCCGGUUUUGUUGCCGGGCGCGGUUUUCUUUCUGCCCGUUACCGCCGCCCCACGGCCCGGCUCCCAUUCUGGUUGCUCUGUUUUGAUAAGGCCGAGGGCGAGCUCGAGCGGCGCAACAGAGGAGGCGCUUCGUCCCCGGCCAUGGCGUUUUUGAGAUCUUCCACCGCUCGAUCUUGUUUUCGGUUCCCUUACUCUUCAAUCCCCGGUGUCGCGGUUCGUUGUUCCUCUCUUUCGCUCUCUCCCUUGUGCUUUUGGUUGCGUCUGGUUCCAAAUCUAGGUGAGUUCAUGUCGCCCUCCCGCCGCGCCCUGCUGUAGUUGUAGAUGCCUGAUUUGGUGUCUUCCCGUUGGAGAUGGAGAUGCAUGAUUUUGUUGUCUCCCCACGCCCCUGAUGUAGUUAUAGAUGCGUGAAGUUGUUGUCUCCCCGCACCCCUGAUGUAGUUGUACAUGUGCGAUUUUGUUGUCUCCCCGCUGGAGAUGGAGAUGCGUGAUUUUAUUGUCUCUCCACACCCCUGAUGUAGUGGUUGUUUGCCUUGUUUCCCCCAGUCCGAAGUUGGGGGAUUAUGUAUAUGCACCCUGUAGGUGCGCGAUUCCGCGGCUUUGUGUCCUGCUCUUUUAUGUUUUGAUGCUUCCUGCUCAUGUUUAGUUUCAUUUUUGCAGUCCCUGGUUUUACCUCCUGUUUCGUUGUUGUAAAUGCAGGUGUUUAGCUUCCUUUUCUGCCAUGUUUUUUAUCCUAUGUGUUUGUCUGAUGUUGACUACAAGCAGACAUGUAAUUUGAGUCCAAUUUCAGUGUAAUUUCUCCCAGCCCAUUCAGUGUAAUUUACUGAAUAUAUCGAAUGUAAUUUGUCUGAUGUUGUCCCAGCCCAAUUCAUGUUUAGCUCUUUUUCAGUGUAUGUACAGUGUUAUUUUGAUCGUAAUUAUAGUGUAAUCCCAGUAUUUCAAUGUAAUUUGUCCUAGCCUUACAGUGUAGUUUAUCCAAUAUCUUUCCCGCUGUGUUGUUGAGUGAAUUUUACUGUGUUAUUUGAGUGUAAUCCAUUUCAUUAUUACAGUGCAGUUUGUCCUGGACUUACAAUGUACUUUCACCUAAUAUUCCAGUGUGGAAAUUACAGUGGAUUUAUAGUGUAAUUUGAAUGUAGUUGCAGUUUAAUUUGUCCCAACUUUACAGUGCAAUUUUGUCCCCAGACUUACCCUAAUUUUUCCAGUGUGUCAUAGUGCAAUUACAUAUCCCAAUUUACGGUGCAUUUUGUCCCAGACUUACUGUGUAAUUUUACCUAAUUUUUCCAGUGUGAAUUGUCAUAGUGUAAUUACAGUUGAUUUAUAGUGUAAUUUGAAUGUCAGUUGCAGUGUAAUUUUUAUCCCAAGUUUACAGUGCAAGUUUGUCCCCAGACUUACAGUGUAUUUUACCUUAUUUUUCCAGUGUGUCAUAAUGUAAUUACAGUGUAGUUUAUCCCAAUUUACAGUGCAAUUUGUCACAGACUUACAGUGUAAUUUACCUAAUUUUUCCACUGUAAAUUGUCAUAGUGUAAUUACAGUGGAUUUAUAGUGUAAUUCAAAUAUAGUUACAGUGUAAUGUCCCAACUUUACAUUGUACUUUACCCAAUAAUCCCAGUGUGAUUUGUCAUAGGAUUUGAGUGGAUUUUUACUGUGUAAUUUAGGUCAGUUUGCACAGUAAUUUUGUCUAGAUUUUCAGUGUAAUUAAGUCCAGUUUAGCUAGUUUUCACUGUACUUUGCUUGGAUCAGUACUGUAGGGCUUUCGAAUGUUUCCUGCAGCAUAAGUUUUGUUAGCUUUUACUUUUCUAUGUAUUUUAAACAUCUUCCGGAAGUUUUAGCAACUGUAUCUCACAUUAAGUAUGAGUUCUUCCUAUGAUAGUCUCAGUAGAUCCUCUUCAGUUACUGCCCUCAUCAUGCUCCUCUCAUGACACAUUUGAAGAGAAGAAUGUCAGUGUUAGCGUAAUCAUGAGCAGCCAAGCGUUUAGAAAUAGAUGAUAGUGUUUGCAACGUCUAUCUGCUUGUUUUGUAAUUUGUAUUUUAUUUUUUGCACUGGCUUGUGCUCUCUACUUACUAGGAACUUACAAUGUAUUUAUCUCAGUUUUUAAUUACUGUAGUUUGAAUUAUAAAAUUUCUAGUUGCUUACACUGGAAGUUCCUAGUUGAAUUCACUGGGAUUUUCUAUUUGCAGUGGGAUUGUACACUAGAAUUUCAUAGGUGCUUACACUGUAAUAAAACUUGUAAGUACAUGCAUUUAAAAAACUUGAGUACACUGAAAUUUUCAAGUUACCAAUAGUAGUAUGUAGACUGGAAAUUACCAGCUAGUUACACUGCAAUUUACUGGGAUUUACAGUAGUAUUCACACUAGUUUUUACAUUGUGAUGUACACUGGCAUUUACAUGGAUUUUAAAAAUGUAAGUACACUGGAAAUUACAAGUAACCUACAGUAGUUUUUAUACUGGAAAUUACCAUCAACUUACACUGGAAUUUACUGUAACACUUGAUUUUACGUCAGGAUGUACACUGGAAUUUACAUUGGGAUUUACACUGGAAAUUCAGAAGUGCUGUAUUUCCAUGUUAAUUUACAUUGUAAAUAUUCUUGUAAGUUUUCCGAAAACUAAACUGUAUUUUCCAUUGAACAAUUUCAGCAUUUCAGUGUAAUUUCCAUGUUGAUGUCAAUGUAAUUGAUCACAAAAAUUAUGGGAUUUGCCCAGAAAUACAGCUGAUGUUGAUCUAUCUCUUGUAGAUGAAGAAAAUUCCUCCUGAUUUGUUCUUGUGACAGGUGAAGAGAGAAGAUGGUGAGCAGUUGGGAUAGUUGUUGAAUUCCCUCCGAUGUUCUUCCUUGUUCCUCGUCAGGUGAGAUCUGUUGAGUGGUUUGUGGGAGGGGUUUGGCCCUUUUCAUGCGUUGCAAGCUGGGCACGUACUGUGUGGUCCUGAAGAUCAAGGGAGUUGGUUCCUGAAUUUUUUGGAGUGGCUAGUUGUCCAGCGAACCGGGUCA